rnacentral:misc_RNA from 1 species
UCCGGUUUGGCACCGGCAGUCUCCGUAGAGUCCCCGACAUCACUCGCUGGCAACUACGGACAGGGGUUGCGCUCGUUGCGCCACUUAAGGCAACACCUCGCGGCACGAGCUGACGACAGCCAUGCAGCACCUGUGCACAGGCCCCGAAGGGCUGCCGUGUUUCCACGACAUUCCUGUGCAUGUCAAGCCUAGGUAAGGUUCUUCGCGUUGCGUCGAAUUAAACCACAUGCUCCGCUGCUUGUGCGGGCCCCCGUCAAUUCCUUUGAGUUUUAGCCUUGCGGCCGUACUCCCCAGGCGGGGCGCUUAAUGCGUUAGCUGCGGCACGGAACUCGUGGAAUGAGUCCCACACCUAGCGCCCAACGUUUACGGUGUGGACUAC